CUCUCUAUAAUUCUCUCCUUAUCUUUCUCUAAUUCUCUCUCUCUCUCUCUCUCUCUCUAGUCUCUAUACGUGUGUUGGGUUUUAAGGUGUCAGAGAGAGAGAGAGAGAGAUUUUGCCAAUUUUAGAAAAGUAGUAGUUUUUGCGAGCGUGCGCUCUCUCUGAGAAGCAUCUUUGUUUCCUGUUUUUGAUAAUUUCCGAUUAUUCCAAUUUGUACUACAAUUUUGCUUGGGAGGAGAAUCAUGGGGGAGUGGAGAGGGAGAGCUGGGAAGUGGCAAGAAGACCACGGUUGGCCCCACCAGCCACCGGACUCCUCCGACGGCGGCGGCGGCGGCGGGUGGUGGCGCGCCGGCGACGUCGCCGCCGGAGGAGGAGGAGGAGGAGGCGGCGGCGCCGGCAAGAAGGCGGGGAGGUACGGCAAGCCGCCUAGGGCGUGUUCAGGGCAGACGGUUCCCCGCUGGGAGAGGGACUUUUGCACCAGCGAGGGUUCGAUCCCAUGGAAGAAGCUGUGCGAAACCAAGAAGCUGAUGUACUUGUACGAGAAUGUCGCCAAGUGGGACGACUCCGAGGGGAAGGAGGCCUUCCAGAACGCCAAGGCUCGGUACUGGGCGAAGAUCCAUGGCCUAAAAUGCGACAUCCCCUUACCCAACCCUGACAUGUACAUCGACGUGGUUGAUCAAGACACGAUCAUUGAUCCUCAACUCAUAGAAGACUUAUACAAAAAGCCACCACCCCAAAACGGGAGUGAGACCGAAAGCAACUGCUUCUUGAAUUUGGAGUCCCUUAAUCAAGAAGUCCCGGCCACUGGGUGGGGCGACGACGAAGAAGAUCCACUUCCCACGAAGAACAACGAGAAUGAGACCGGUAACUUUGGCUACGCACCGAAUUUGAUCGAGUACGAGAUCAUCCCAAGCGGGUGGGAUGAUGUGGAAGAUUCAGCACCCAAGAAUGAACUUAAAGUUAGUGAGAAGUCGUGGGCGAGCACGGGCGACCGUUUAGGGGAGAAGUGGGGAAACAAGAGCUAUAGCUGCAACUACUAUAAGAGGAGGAACAAUAAUUGGAAUUACCACAAGGGGUGGAAGAGGAUGGACUACUAUUGUGGACAGUACUAGUGUGGGAAUUACCGCAUUCAAUCCUUAAGGGGGUGUCUGAACCAGACGCUGCAGUAAUGGAUGUAGUUCUCGCCGAUUUUGUGUAUUGCGUACUAAUCUUGUACAGUAUUGCUAACUCAAAAUGCUCAAGCCUUAAGCAAAGUGAUGAUGGUGAUAUGCACUGAAUAUGAUAUCUGAGCUUCUGACUUUGUUGAGGUUACAUUUCCUGAGAAGCUUCAUUAGGGCAAAAUUAUGCUUAAACAAGGUAGAAUAAAUAACUUGUUGCAUGCCAAACACUCA